GUAAAUUUAGAUCUAAGAUUAACAAUUUCUAAGAUAGGCAGGCUUUUUCUGUACUGCUGGUCAGUGCUGCAUGCAUAAAUACUGGAUUUUAACUAUACAAGAGCUAUGCUUUUCAAGUAAAUGACUCGACAUGAAGAUGAAUACCAGAUGAGAAGUAAGUGUAGCACCAUCAGAAGAAAUUGAGGGACAUGAGAAUCGCUGUACAGUCUGAGAUGAAGGGUGCACAAACUGCCUAAAUGACCUGCUAGAUGCGCAGCAACCACGGGAAGUUCAGGCAGCUCUGAGUUGGCACAGGAACCAGCCUCCUUCGGCCCCUCACAAGGAAUAUGUUAAAGGACAGCACGAUGAAAGAGAAAAAAGCCACAACAGCAGCAUCUCUGCUAACCAUCACUUUGAACUUACUCUAACCUAUACCAGGACACAUUAAAUUAAGUCCUACAUGCAAAAUCCUUCAAGUUAUCCCUUAAUUACUUUUGACCCUGAUCAAUGUUUACUAAGUGCAUCAGAAAUUUGAUCCAGGAUUCACCAACCAUAAAAGUUUGUAAAUGAUAUUACAAUAAACAUGAAAUAAUAAUAAUAAAUGAAAUAAUAUUGCAGUAAUGAGAAAUAUUACUGUCAUAAUAUAAAAACAUGUACGUACAGAAAGGAUUCAUGGACCAUAUCUGCUAGUUUCUGCUCUUAUACUAGUCUAAAAUGAAAACAAAAAACAAUAGCUCAAGCCCUCUGAACAGAAUUUUGAGGGAAUUGUGUUUUACAGAAACUGCAUAGUUGCAUCAAAAAUUUUAAAA
ensembl:lncRNA